GUAGGUGGCAAGCGUUGUCCGGAAUUAUUGGGCGUAAAGCGCGCGCAGGCGGUUCUUUAAGUCUGAUGUAAAAGCCCACGGCUCAACCGUGGAGGGUCAUUGGAAACUGGAGAACUUGAGUACAGAAGAGGAAAGCGGAAUUCCACGUGUAGCGGUGAAAUGCGUAGAGAUGUGGAGGAACACCAGUGGCGAAGGCGGCUUUCUGGUCUGUAACUGACGCUGAGGCGCGAAAGCGUGGGGAGCAAACAGGGAUUAGAUACCCUGGUAGUCCACGCCGUAAACGAUGAGUGCUAAGUGUUAGGGGGUUUCCGCCCCCUUAGUGCUGCAGCUAACGCAUUAAGCACUCCGCCUGGGGAUACGGCCGCAAGGCUG
rnacentral:rRNA from 1 species